UACGUAGGGUGCAAGCGUUGUCCGGAAUUAUUGGGCGUAAAGAGCUCGUAGGCGGUUUGUCGCGUCUGCUGUGAAAACGCGAGGCUCAACCUCGCGCCUGCAGUGGGUACGGGCAGACUAGAGUGCGGUAGGGGAGAUUGGAAUUCCUGGUGUAGCGGUGGAAUGCGCAGAUAUCAGGAGGAACACCGAUGGCGAAGGCGGCAUCCUGGACCGAUACUGACGCUGAGAAGCGAAAGCAUGGGGAGCGAACAGG
rnacentral:rRNA from 1 species